rnacentral:rRNA from 1 species
GGGAGCCUGAGAAACGGCUACCACAUCCAAGGAUGGCAGCAGGCGCGCAAAUUACCCAAUCCCGACACGGGGAGGUAGUGACAAUAAAUAACAAUACGGGGUUCUUUCGGAUCUCGUAAUUGGAAUGAGUACAAUUUAAAUCUCUUAACGAGGAACAAUUGGAGGGCAAGUCUGGUGCCAGCAGCCGCGGUAAUUCCAGCUCCAAUAGCGUAUAUAAAAGUUGUUGCAGUUAAAAAGCUCGUAGUUGAAUUUCGGGGUUAGUAGGUUGGUCAUGCCUCUGGUAUGUACUGAUCUCACUGAUUCCUCCUUCCUGAUGAACCGUAAUGCCAUUAAUUUGGUGUUGCGGGGAAUUUGGACUGUUACUUUGAAAAAAUUAGAGUGUUUAAAGCAAGCUAACGCUUGAAUACAUUAGCAUGGAAUAAUGAAAUAGGACGUUCGAUCCUAUUUUGUUGGUUUCUAGGAUUGACGUAAUGAUUAAUAGGGAUAGUUGGGGGCAUUAGUAUUCAAUUGUCAGAGGUGAAAUUCUUGGAUUUAUUGAAGACUAACUACUGCGAAAGCAUUUGCCAAGGAUGGUUUCAUUAAUCAAGAACGAAAGUUAGGGGAUCGAAGACGAUCAGAUACCGUCGUAGUCUUAACCAUAAACUAUGCCGACUAGGGAUCGGAUGAUGUUAAUUUUUUAAUGACUCAUUCGGCGCCUUACG